rnacentral:lncRNA from 1 species
AAACAAUGGCUCAAAUUCCUUUUGGUUCCCAUUAUUCUGGGAUGAGGAUGACUCUCCAUUGAGUAAGUGUAUACUACUAUUCUGAAAUGCCUGUCCAGGUAAAGAAUUUCCAUUAUUCUGGGAUGACUCUCCUUCAAGUAAGUGUAUACUACUACUCUGAAAUGCCUGUCCAGGUAAAGAAUUUCCAUUAUUCUGGGAUGACUCUCCUUCAAAUAAGUGUAUACUACUAUUCUGAAAUGCUUGUCCAGGUAAAGAAUUUCCAUUAUUCUGGGAUGACUCUCCUUCAAGUAAGUGUAUACUACUACUCUGAAAUGCCUGUCCAGGUAAAGAAUUUCCAUUAUUCUGGGAUGAUUCUCCAUCAAGUAAGUGUAUACUACUGCUCUGAAAUGCCUGUCCAGGUAAUGAAUUUCCAUUAUUCUGGGAUGACUCUCCUUCAAGUAAGUGUAUACUACUAUUCUGAAAUGCCUGUCCAGGGAAAGAAUUUCCAUUAUUC